rnacentral:rRNA from 1 species
GAUGAACGCUAGCGGCAGGCUUAAUACAUGCAAGUCGAGGGGCAGCAUGAUUGUAGCAAUACAAUUGAUGGCGACCGGCAAACGGGUGCGGAACACGUACACAACCUUCCAACAAGUGGGGGAUAGCCCAGAGAAAUUUGGAUUAAUACCCCGUAACAUAGCGAUGUGGCAUCACAUUGCUAUUAUAGAUUUUUCGCUUGUUGAUGGGUGUGCGGCUGAUUAGAUAGUUGGCGGGGUAACGGCCCACCAAGUCUACGAUCAGUAGCUGAUGUGAGAGCAUGAUCAGCCACACGGGGACUGAGACACGGGCCCGACUCCUACGGGAGGCAGCAGUAAGGAAUAUUGGACAAUGGACGCAAGUCCGAUCCAGCCAUGCCGCGUGAAGGAUUAAGGUCCUCUGGAUUGUAAACUUCUUUUAUAAGGGACGAAAAAAGGCUUUUCUAAGUCGUCUGACGGUACCUUAUGAAUAAGCACCGGCUAACUCCGUGCCAGCCGCCGCAGUAAGAC